GGGCCUGUGGUCUAGUGGUUAACUUUCCUAAAGUUUAAUUGCUUUGGAAGUCCACAGAUGACGCUGCCCUUACAAGGCAGAGAUCCUCGGUUCAAAUCCGAGCAGGCCCA
rnacentral:tRNA from 1 species